rnacentral:rRNA from 1 species
GACAGAGGUGCCAAGCGUUAGGCGGAAUCACUGGGCUUAAAGCGUGUGUAGGCGGAUUUGUAAGUACCUUGUGAAAUCCCACGGCUUAACCGUGGAACGGCUGGGUAUACUGCGAAUCUUGGGCCAUCUAGGGGCUACUGGAACAAACGGUGGAGCGGUGAAAUGCGUAGAUAUCGUUUGGAACGCCAAUGGUGAAAACAAGUAGCUGGGGAUGUGCCGACGCUGAGACACGAAAGCCAGGGGAGCGAACGGG